rnacentral:rRNA from 1 species
UACAGAGGUCUCAAGCGUUGUUCGGAUUCAUUGGGCGUAAAGGGUGCGUAGGCGGCGCGGUAAGUCGGGUGUGAAAUCUCGGAGCUUAACUCCGAAACUGCAUUCGAUACUGCGGUGCUUGAGGACUGGAGAGGAGACUGGAAUUUACGGUGUAGCGGUGAAAUGCGUAGAGAUCAUGAGGAAGACCAGUGGCGAAGGCGGGUCUCUGGACAGUUCCUGACACUGAGACACGAAGGCCAGGGGAGCAAACGGG